rnacentral:rRNA from 1 species
GACGAACGCUGGCGGCGUGCUUAACACAUGCCAGUCGAACGGAAAGGCCCUGCUUUUGUGGGGUGCUCGAGUGGCGAACGGGUGAGUAACACGUGAGUAACCUGCCCUUGACUUUGGGAUAACUUCAGGAAACUGGGGCUAAUACCGGAUAGGAGCUCCUGCUGCAUGGUGGGGGUUGGAAAGUUUCGGCGGUUGGGGAUGGACUCGCGGCUUAUCAGCUUGUUGGUGGGGUAGUGGCUUACCAAGGCUUUGACGGGUAGCCGGCCUGCGAUGGUGACCGGCCACAUUGGGACUGGGAUACGGCCCAGACUCCUACGGGAGGCAGCAGUGGGGAAUAUUGCACAAGGGGCUGAAGCCUGAUGCAGCAACGCCGCGUGCGGUAUGACGGCCUUCGGGUUGGAAACCGCUUUCGCCUGUGACGAAGCGUGAGUGACGGUAAUGGGUAAAGAAGCACCGGCUAACUACGUG